CCGGUCGGUUUUACUAACGGACCGGAAGGACUCUAGAGAAGGCUCUGCACUAUGGCUGGUCCCGUGAGCUUGCGAGACCUUCUAAUGGGAGCGUCAGCCUGGAUGGGCUCUGAAAGUCCCGGAGGGUCCCCUACUGAGGGCGGAGGGAGCGCGGCUGGCGGACCGGAGCCUCCAUGGCGGGAGGAUGAGAUCUGCGUUGUGGGAAUCUUCGGCAAGACGGCUCUACGCCUGAAUUCCGAGAAGUUCUCUCUUGUGAAUACGGUGUGCGACCGACAGGUCUUUCCUCUCUUUCGCCACCAAGAUCCUGGGGAUCCAGGACCUGGAAUCAGAACUGAGGCUGGCGCCGUGGGUGAGGCCGGUGGAGCCGAGGACCCUGGGGCUGCAGCCGGGGGUUCAGUUCGGGGAAGUGGAGCUGUCGCGGAAGGUAACCGAACUGAGGCAGGCUCCCAGGACUACAGCCUUCUGCAGGCCUACUACAAUCAGGAAAGCAAAGUUCUGUAUCUUCUCCUCACCUCCAUCUGUGACAAUUCACAGCUUCUCCGGGCUUGUCGGGCUCUUCAGAGCGGGGAAGCUGGAGGUGGACUCUCUUUACCUCAUGCAGAAGCACACGAGUUCUGGAAGCAUCAAGAGAAGCUGCAGUGCCUCAGUCUCCUUUACCUAUUCUCUGUCUGUCAUAUCUUGCUUCUGGUCCAUCCCACUUGUUCCUUUGAUAUCACUUAUGAUCGAGUAUUCAGAGCCCUGGAUGGGCUGAGACAGAAGGUCCUGCCGCUCCUUAAAACAGCCAUUAAGGAUUGUCCAGUUGGCAAAGACUGGAAGCUAAACUGCCGACCUUGCCCACCUAGACUCCUUUUCCUCUUUCAACUCAAUGGAGCCCUCAAGGUAGAACCUCCUCGGAACCAAGACCCAGCUCAUCCAGACAAGCCCAAGAAACAUUCUCCCAAAAGGAGGCUGCAGCAUGCCCUGGAGGACCAGAUCUAUAGAAUCUUCCGGAAGAGUCGUGUCUUGACUAAUCAGAGCAUCAACUGCCUCUUUACUGUGCCUGCCAACCAAGCUUUCGUGUACAUAGUACCCGGAAGCCAGGAGGAGGACCCAGUAGGUAUGUUGCUGGACCAACUUAGGAGUCAUUGUACUGUGAAGGACCCGGAAUCUUUGCUGGUGCCUGCACCCCUUUCUGGGCCUAGGCGAUACCAGGUGAUGAGGCAGCACAGCCGACAACAACUUUCCUUUCACAUUGACAGCAGCAGUUCCAGUUCUUCAGGCCAGCUAGUGGAUUUCACUCUUCGGGAAUUCCUAUGGCAGCAUGUGGAGCUAGUUCUAAGCAAGAAAGGUUUCGAUGACAGUGUGGGCAGGAACCCACAGCCUUCCCAUUUUGAACUUCCUACUUAUCAGAAGUGGAUCUCAGCAGCUUCAAAACUGUAUGAGGUGGCUAUUGAUGGGAAAGAGGAGGACUUGGGGUCACCCACUGGAGAGCUAACAUCUAAGAUUUUAAGCAGUAUUAAAGUCUUGGAAGGAUUUUUGGAUAUUGACACAAAAUUCUCAGAAAACCGAUGCCAAAAAGCUUUACCCAUGGCCCACAGUGCCUACCAGUCAAAUUUGCCUCAUAAUUACACAAUGACUGUCCAUAAGAAUCAGCUUGCCCAGGCUCUUCGAGUGUACAGUCAACAUGCUAGAGGUCCAGCAUUUCACAAAUACGCCAUGCAGUUACAUGAGGACUGCUACAAAUUUUGGAGCAAUGGCCAUCAGCUCUGUGAGGAGAGGAGUUUAACUGAUCAACACUGUGUGCACAAAUUUCACUCAUUACCUAAAUCAGGAGAAAAACCAGAGGCUGAUAGAAAUCCGCCUGUGCUAUAUCACAAUAGCCGAGCUCGAUCUACUGGUGCUUGCAACUGUGGAAGGAAACAAGCACCUCGAGAUGAUCCCUUUGAUAUCAAAGCAGCCAAUUAUGACUUCUAUCAGCUUCUGGAAGAAAAGUGUUGUGGAAAAUUGGAUCAUAUCAAUUUCCCAGUAUUUGAACCAAGUACUCCAGAUCCUGCUCCUGCUAAAAAUGAAUCCUCUCCUGCUCCUCCAGAUUCGGAUGCUGAUAAACUUAAAGAAAAAGAACCUCAAACCCAAGGAGAGAGCACGAGCCUGAGUUUAGCUUUGAGUUUGGGCCAAUCCACAGAUAGCUUAGGUACCUAUCCAGCUGAUCCACAAGCAGGAGGAGAUAAUCCAGAAGUUCAUGGUCAAGUAGAAGUGAAAACUGAGAAGAGACCAAACUUGGUUGAUCGACAGGCAUCCACAGUUGAGUAUCUCCCAGGCAUGCUACAUUCAAAUUGCCCUAAAGGUCUCCUACCCAAAUUCUCCAGCUGGUCUUUGGUUAAACUAGGCCCUGCUAAGUCUUAUAACUUUCAUACAGGUUUGGACCAACAGGGCUUUAUUCCAGGAACAAAUUAUCUUAUGCCUUGGGACAUUGUCAUCAGGACUAGAGCUGAAGAUGAAGGAGACUUAGACACAAACUCUUGGCCUGCUCCAAAUAAAGCUAUUCCUGGAAAGAGAAGUGCGGUUGUAAUGGGAAGAGGAAGACGGCGAGAUGACAUAGCUCGAGCUUUUGUGGGCUUUGAAUAUGAAGACUCUCGAGGUCGGAGAUUCAUGUGCUCUGGGCCUGACAAAGUAAUGAAAGUAAUGGGAAGUGGGCCAAAGGAAUCAGCUUUAAAAGCCCUAAAUAGUGACAUGCCCUUAUAUAUUCUGUCAUCCUCUCAAGGUAGAGGGCUGAAACCUCAUUAUGCUCAACUUAUGAGGCUUUUUGUUGUGGUUCCUGAUGCUCCUUUGCAGAUAAUACUAAUGCCUCAGGUAAGAAAUAUAACCCUCUGCAGCCCCAGACAAGUAAAAAAUGCUGAUGUUUGUUUUGAUUGAUUUUAAAAAGUACAAGUUAGCCUCAAAACUAAUUAUUUCAGGCUGAGGGCAGCGGCUCAUGCUUGUAAUCCCAGAACUUUGGGAGGCCAAGGUGGGAGGAUUGCUCGAGCCCAGGAGUUUAAGACCAGCCUGAGCAACAUAGUGAGACUUGUAUCUCUACAAAAAAUUAAAUUAAAAAACGAAUUAUUUAAUUAAACAGGUCUUAAAUUUAAAUACCUUCCAUACCUAAUAUUCUGUUUUUUAAAAAAUACAUUGUGGGUAUUUUAAUCUGUUCACGCUAUCAAUUCACAUCAUUUCAUUCAAAGUGCUGGAAUUACAGGCGUGAGCCACCAGGUCUGGCCUUGUAUGUUCUUUGAACCUAUCGUCUGUUUAGGCAUUUAUCUUUCAGUUGUUUCAUAUUGAGAAAUGUGAAAAUAAUUAUACUACCUGUGUUUUUCAGGUUCAGCCAGGCCCACCACCAUGUCCAGUAUUCUACCCAGAAAAACAAGAAAUCACCCUUCCACCUGAUGGCCUUUGGGUUUUGAGAUUUCCUUAUGCAUAUGUGACUGAGAGAGGACCUUGUUUCCCCCCUAAGGAAAAUGUGCAGUUAAUGAGCUACAAGGUGCUCCGUGGGGUUCUUAAGGCAGUAACACAAUAAGUGUUUUCCAGCCAGUUCAAUCCUAUACUUGAGCUGGUUUUUGUUUUUGGUAUGUGUGGCUGUGUUUUUGGUAUGUGUUUACUGUGUUUUCCCAAAUCCAAAAUGUGUUUUGGUUACAGGAGUUCAGUAUUUGGAAACUAAUUUGUUCUACUUUUUCAUUAUAUUGUUGAUAUUUAUUGUAAACGUGGCUACAACUUUCUAAUAAAGAUUGGUUGUUCUAGAAAAGAAUAUAAAA